UACAGAGGUCCCAAGCGUUGUUCGGAUUCACUGGGCGUAAAGGGUGCGUAGGUGGCAGGGUAAGUUUGAUGUGAAAUCUCCGAGCUUAACUCGGAAACUGCACUGAAUACUAUCCUGCUUGAGGGUUGGAGGGGAGACUGGAAUUCUCGGUGUAGCAGUGAAAUGCGUAGAUAUCGGGAGGAAUACCUAUGGCGAAAGCAGGCUACUGGACCGUCACUGACUCUGAUCUGCGAAAGCUAGGGGAGCAAACAGG
rnacentral:rRNA from 1 species